rnacentral:antisense_RNA from 1 species
UUCUUCCCUUCGGUCCGAAACCCCUCCGAGAGGGCUGAGUCGGGGACAGACAGGUGGAGUUUCCAGAGCCUGCACCACCCGGGACACUGCUGGCAGCUCUCUAAGCCCUAGAGUCUGAGCUGACUCCGACUUUGGCUCACCGCUCUGCUGCCGGACGAUUGUAUGCCAUUCAAAAAGUCGGGAGUUGAAAGACAGCACGCAGCACCUUUGUCCCCCUCCCCGUUUUCCCGGCGCGCUGAAAAGAAAUGGGGCUAGGACUUAGGGGCGGGGGAGGGCUUCCAACUCGGUUUCUCUAUCUCCUCCACCACCUUAGAGCCCACCCUCCCCAAUGAGCGUUUUGUUCUACCCAGCCACGUGUUUGUCGGAUUUUUGUUUUUGUGAUUUUUUAUUUUCCCCAUGGAACAACAAGAAUUAAAGUACUAGGAGCUAUU